rnacentral:rRNA from 1 species
GACGAACGCUGGCGGCGUGCCUAAUACAUGCAAGUAGAACGCUGAAGGAGGAGCUUGCUUCUCUGGAUGAGUUGCGAACGGGUGAGUAACGCGUAGGUAACCUGCCUGGUAGCGGGGGAUAACUAUUGGAAACGAUAGCUAAUACCGCAUAAUAUUGACUAUUGCAUGAUAGUUGAUUAAAAGGUGCAAUUGCACCACUACCAGAUGGACCUGCGUUGUAUUAGCUAGUUGGUGGGGUAACGGCUCACCAAGGCGACGAUACAUAGCCGACCUGAGAGGGUGAUCGGCCACACUGGGACUGAGACACGGCCCAGACUCCUACGGGAGGCAGCAGUAGGGAAUCUUCGGCAAUGGACGGAAGUCUGACCGAGCAACGCCGCGUGAGUGAAGAAGGUUUUCGGAUCGUAAAGCUCUGUUGUAAGAGAAGAACGAGUGUGAGAGUGGAAAGUUCACACUGUGACGGUAUCUUACCAGAAAGGGACGGCUAACUACGUGCCAGCAGCCGCGGUAAUACGUAGGUCCCGAACGUUUGUCCGGAUUAUUGGGCGUAAAGCGAGCGCAGCGGUAGAUAAUCUGAAUUAAAGGCUGUGCUUAACCAUAUACCUUUGGAACUGUUAACUUGAUGCAAAAGGGAAAUGGAAUUCCUGUGUACCGUGAAAUGCGUCAUAUUGGAGGACACCGGUGC